ensembl:lncRNA
GACGGCCCCUACAUAAUCAUGUCGGGGGGGUUAUUCAGAUAAUUCACAGUGAGAUUACCAUGAGCUCAUUAAAGUGCACGAACCCUCUGUUGGGCUUUUUACUGCAUGAAAACAAUUGAUUACUUAAAAAACGGUCCCACCCUUUCCUAAAAGCACACGAGUGUGUAUAUAGGCUGCUACCAACAGCUCACAUACACCCUGAAUAGGAAGCACAUCUCUCUGACGGACACAAUCUUUUUUUUGAAGGAGGAUAUCGCUUGCUGGACUUACAGAAGUGCAACAAGAUCGGUCAUUGUUAUCUGUGGAGAAACAUGGGAAACGAGAACUCCAAGAACAAAGAACUGCAGAACAGGAACGGCAGGAUUCCUGAGAAGCAUAUAAAUGGAUCAGCGAACGGCCUCUCUGCGAACCUCUCAUCUAACGGCUUGGAGAUUUCUGCUAACGACGGUAAAGCUGCUGACGCUCCAGUUAUUUCUGAAAUCCUUGAAAUCGUCAUCCACAAGGAAGAGGUCAGGGAAAGUGAAGGAGAUCAAACGGAUGUUAGUCUCCCUGCCACCAAUCUACAGACGGAGACAGCUAAGCAAAAGCAAGGGUCAGAAUCAUUGACGGAGCCAGAGAGUGUGACUCUAGACUCUGACGAGGGAAACCAGGAGGACAAUAACCCAGAAGAGAAUCCAGUUAUGAACUUCUUCAAAUCUCUAACGACUUCCAAAAUAACCAAAAAGGAAACAGCUGCUCCUGUUGCCAUAAAAGACCAGUCCCAGAAGGAGAACCAACCAGCAGCAACCACUACCGUCGCACAAGUAUCUGAGCCGCCUGCAGCGCCCAAAGGAAUGUCUAUCCCACCGCCACCUCCUCCAGAGCCACCAAAAAUGGAUAUCAAGGCAGAACCAGCUGCUAAACCUGUCAAGGCCACACCAAGAGAAGAAGCAAAAGCUGUUGCCAAGCAACCCCAGUCCUCCAAAGGAAAAUCAGCAACUCUAAGCAAAUUUUUCCGUUCAAAGACAAACAAGGAGUCCCCACCAAAGCCAGACAUUGAAGUAGACGUACAACAAGUUGUAGAAGUAGAGAAGGUGGAUUCUUCAAAAGCUGGCACUUUGGAGGCUGCAGCGAAACCAGAACCGCCGCCGCCUGUGCAGGAAGCACAGAAAACUGCCUCAACAUCCUCCUUCUUUUCUCUCUUCAAGCCUAAAGCCGCUGAUCCCAAAAAGGCGAGUCCUGCCCCGGCUGCAGCCCCAGAGACAGUGAAAGCCAAGGAGGAACCCAAAGCAGCAGCCAAGUUAUCCGAGGCCGUGGUAGAUAAUAAACCUGCUUCAGUGGCCUCCCAGGCCGCAGGUGAUGCAGCCAAGGCGCCAAAGAAACUGGAGAAGAGGAACUCCAUCCAUCAGUUCUUUAAAAUUCUGGGCCAGAAGCGUAACUCGACAGAUGCCGGGAUCCAGACAGAGACGCUCGCUGUCGCUCCGGUACCCGAGAAGGUCAAAUGAAACCAAAAGCGAGAGUGAAGUUUCCCUGUACAGACUCCUUCUCUUUUUCUUGCCCUUACUCGGUUUUCAUGUGCCUCAUCUGUCUCAUUAUUCUUUAAACUCUUAUAGAAUUGCUUUAACUACAUUUUGAUUUUGUUAUUGUUCAUAAGUUACAAUACGCACGGAAUAGUGAGCGGAAAGGCAAAGGCAAGUAGUGAGAAAGACACACAGCAGGUAGUUGCACAAGUGGUGAUUUGAAAUGGUCCAUGGUGAGGUUGUUGAGAUAUUUACAGUAUAUACAGUACAUAUUGUGUUUGGACCCUGUGCCUUGACAAGUAUAGCAAAAUCAGUGUGAAAUCUUUUCUACAGACAUUUAAUGUAACUUCUCUCUGUUCUUGCACAUGAAACAGAAGGUAAAAGGCAUCGCUUUUAGCUUUGUGUUUGUCAAAAAAAAACAUUUAAAAAAGGUUCUAUUUUUUACAGUUCACACAAAAGAAAAUCACGCAGCUGUGGCCGUGCAGAGGUUCCCACGAAAUUGCAUCGCACUUAAAUCCAUAUGUGAUAUAUUAACAUUAACAGCUCUGAAAAGAGCAAAUAAGAAGAGCAUCUUAGUGUAACAAGAAGCACUUAGCAGUCAAGUAUCUGUAUCGAGGGUGAUGGGGAACUGGCUAUAUGCGUAAAAAAAUGCAUCUGAGAGAUGUGUCUUUGUGCUACGUUUUUACUAAUGACUCACAGUUGAUUAGUUUUACAUUUGAACUUUGUCUCAUGUAACUCAGUGGAAGUCUUGUAGCGUCAGUCAGCAAUUAACAUCACGCUUUUGGUGGCCUUGCUUGAUGUAUGCAUGUGUGUGCGUGUGUGUAACUUCAGCUAUCCUGAAGACAAUAAACCUGUUUAUCAUUCGUUGUAUCUUCAUGUGUGUACGCGGCAACUGAGAAACCCCGUGAAGAAUAACCGGCUGUUGCAUUCGGCAUCUGCCAAAAUAUGCACCUCAGUAAGUUUGGCAAAAAAAAAUAAAAAAUCACACAUCAAAUCUUAUAAUAAAUAUUUUAAUUCACACUAAACUAAACUCAUAAGGCGUGACACAUGAGUCCUACCUUGGGCGUCGGUGGAAAUACUGCCAGCCUUACUCACCCAUGGGUUUAUUUUGUUGGCUGAAAAACAAGUGACGGUGAUGACGGGCAGGGCCGUACAAACCAAAACUCACCUCAGAGCCGCCCGCCGUCCGCCCGCCCGCCUGAUGGACGGAGAGCCGUCUGCGGUCCGUCACUACCAAAUAUUACAUUCAGAGACACCUUAGAGAUAAAAAGAUGUUAAACGAGAUCUAAGGAAUUGUUUCAGGUAAAGCAAAGCCUCCCAUACUCUAUUUUCAUUUAUGAGGUAAUUCCAAUGAUGGAGGAUGUGUUUUAAAUAGUAUUAUGUCAUGAGUCGCGGCCCCCUUAAAGGCAUAACUCACGCUGCACCUUUAUUAUCAACGAAACGCACUCUUUUUGCGUUACCCUCUGUGAUGGUUGUGAUCAUUUUAAAUUGUGCAUCAAAGUAAUUGACAUGGCACUUAAGGGGAAACAGUGAGGUAUUGCCUGCACAGUUUAAUCCAUGUGGUCAAGUCCUCUCCUCUGGGGAUUGUUAAGAGGAAUAUGUGACUCUUUGCCAACUGUAUUGCUGUACAGUGUGAAGUUCACCACUAACUACCAUUCUCCUAAAAUAAAACACUGGACAGUACCCACAGUGCACCUCACC